GGUGAGUUCAGUUGGUAGAGCAGUUGACUUUUAAUCAAUUGGUCGCAGGUUCGAAUCCUGCACGACCCACCA
rnacentral:tRNA from 1 species